UGCAAAGCUAAACGUUGGCUCUGGCUACCCAAGCCCUAAUAUCAUACGAGAAAUGCUGCUAUCAGCGCUGAACGAAGAGACCUACAAAUGUGAACUCCAAGUGUGUAUAGAAAAAUCCCAUGCUGAAGUCCCAAGGAACCCGUCUGAACUCUUUAAAGAAUGAGGCCAGCGGGAGGCUUUGCAGAGACCUGAGAGCUGGCUCAGCCUGUGCCUCUGCUAGUUUGCUGCAGUGACGCCUUAUCGGCAGCCUUCAUGCAUCGAGCGGUGCGUGCUGGGCAUCUGCUGGCUGGGUUAGGAACGGAUUUUCAUGUUCCAGUCAAGUGGUGCUGUUGGGGCUCAUUAGGUCUCCCCUGUACUGUGAUAACUUCCCAGGACCACCCGAGCACUUCCCAUUCAGCAGGAUUCUAUAGGAACCAGAGACGCUUGCAGGGACUUGACCUCCGCCGUGGUCUUUGGCACCUGACAGCUGUGGACUUGCCAAAUUUUGGGCCUGGCUUGAGGAGGGCUGCAUGGUGUGUGUGUGGUGGAUCCCUCUGGACUGAAUGCCUCGCGUGCAGUUGUCUGCCCUGGGGAGCCAGGUCAAACAUCAGCUACUGAAGUGUGACGGGCUCUUAGGGAGCGGUGGCACUUGUGCCUGACCCUCGCUCAAGUGGGGGUAUGUAAAAUGCCAUAGAAACAAUUAAUGCUGUUUUUAACCCAAAGAAUUCUACUUGCCUCUAAGCAGUAUCUUCAGCAAAAGCUUGGCAGACAAGAAAACAAAACUGAAAGCACGUGAAAAUCUCAUCCAGCCCGAAGCGGGGAUCCUUUUGUCCCUUCAGAGGCAACACAUGGCCAUAAGCAACCCUGCAAGCAACCUGCAACAAGGGAGCGUUGGAGGAAAAGUGAGUGGCGCGUGGUGCAGGGAGCCUUGUCUCAGGGGAACCGGGGGCUGAGGGGCGUUUGGCUGUUUUUGUACAUGGGGGUGCAAGGGCUGGGGAAGGAAAGCUUCAACGUGAAGGCGGUUUUGACUCUCAUCAUCUGGAAAUGCCCAGCAGGAUCUGGCUGUGUUUCCACUCAUGUAAAUCUGGGCUGUGCCAGGUUGUGCGGAAGCAACUUCAGCUGUUAGCAGAAUGGGGUUGCUCUCAGACGUCUGCACGGGUUAGGUGGAAGAAAGACUGAAAUAGCAGUCUCUCCUGGGAACGUUCACGGAUGAAGACAAACUAAUAAUUUUUAAAUAUAGCUAAUAGUUUUAAAGAGAUUUUUCUAUUUCUAAAAGGCAGUAGGAGAAUUUACGUAGACAAGCUGGAAUGCUUUGUGUUUGUCCAUGCACCCAACCUCUUGGCAUGCAGCUUGGAUUAUUUUUUUCACCUGCCCCGUCCUACGUGACACUUGCAUGUUCUGCAGGAAUGUGGCUAAUGGAUACUUCAAAGCAAAGUGAACAGCUGUUGCGUCAGCUUCUACUGAUGCUUCUUUUAUUCUGAUAUCAGCCAAUGUAUUUUGUAGUGGAAGACAAUUUCACUUUGCUUUAAGGAACGUUGGCGAUGCCAGCUAUGGAGAGAACUUAGAACUGGCUGCUAAGAUACAGGCAAAUUGUUACCCUCCUUCAGUUCCCAAACAGAU